GACGUAGGGCGCGAGCGUUGUCCGGAUUUAUUGGGCGUAAAGAGCUCGUAGGCGGUGUGUCGCGUCGGCCGUGAAAACCUGCAGCUUAACUGUGGGCUUGCAGUCGAUACGGGCAGGCUAGAGUUCGGUAGGGGAGACUGGAAUUCCUGGUGUAGCGGUGAAAUGCGCAGAUAUCAGGAGGAACACCGAUGGCGAAGGCAGGUCUCUGGGCCGAUACUGACGCUGAGGAGCGAAAGCAUGGGGAGCGAACAGG
rnacentral:rRNA from 1 species